UUUCCGUAGGUGAACCUGCGGAAGGAUCAUUAUUGAAUAAACCUGAUGUUGUUGUAGCUGGCCCUUUCGGGAGCAUGUGCACACCCGUCGUCUUUAUCUUUCCACCUGUGCACCUUUUGUAGACCUGGAUGUAACACUUUCCGAGGCAACUCGGUCGGGAGGAAUGCUGUCAGCUUUCCUUGAAUGUCCAGGCCUAUGUUUUCAUAUACCCCAAAGAAUGUAACAGAAUGUAUUAUUGGGCCUUGUGCCUAUAAACUAUAUACAACUUUCAGCAACGGAUCUCUUGGCUCUC
rnacentral:misc_RNA from 1 species